CCAUAACAUACGACUCGGCCAUACCAACCUACUCCCGUCCCCAAAGGUUUCACGAAGAAUUUCCCUUUUUGUCGGUUGGCUGUGGAGACAAUCAGUGACUACCUAGUAGACCUCACUUUAUCCCACUGCCACAAUGAUAAUCAGACUGGGGAGACUGACGCCAGGAUACUUCAGACUCCUGCAGCGGCAGGUGUCUGGUGAGAUGCAGCUCCAGCCGGCGAGCGGCCCCGUCAAUCAAAUCGCCAUGACGAUGGCCACUCUGGGCAUAGGAAUGUCCUGUUACAGCGCCCGGCAGAUGGCCGAGCAUGUCCACCUGAAGGAGCCCUCGGCCUGAGACUGCGCCCUCUAGAGGUGAACAGAAUACACUGCAAUGGCCAUCAACAUAUGUGGGCAUCUGGCCUGGCUCUUACCUGGACAUGACCCUCAAAAAGACACAAAUGACUGUUUUACUUGAAUUUUGGGCCUCUGAACCACUUUUGUGUAACUUUUUACUUUUUUCAUAUUUUUUUUUAACAUAGCCUACCUUCAACUUUUAACCUCACUGUUACGAAGGCAAAGUGUUUGCUACGUUAUCCGUAUUGGGAGGAUAGGACCUUGUUCAUUCAUCAUAAUGUAAUGGUCAGGUAUUAUUCACACACCUUGGAAUGUCACCCAGUGCUGAUAUUUCAAAAUGGCACUGCCACCGGAAAACAGGGUAAAACGCAGAAGCCUGAUCAUUUAUUUGAUGAAUAGAAAGGAUUCUAAUGUACGAUGACUGUGAAACGUAAUGGAUGGAUUGAUGUGUUUUUGUAUGUUGGUGUUUGAAAUGUGCAUGUUGGAGGAAAGUGAAGUUGAAGGUGCUAAGAUUCGUGUGAACACAAACGAGAUUCAUGACAAGUGUUUUUGAAGGAAAAAUGAAAGUGCUACUCCUGCGAAAAACUCUCAGUGUAUGCUUUCCCAUGGUCAAAACUCUCCAUUACUGUGUUAUGGAGACGUCUCUGAGAACAACCUCUGGUUAAUGAUGAAAGCGUGAAAAGUGAAAGCCCAUUGGGAAACUCCAACUCC